GACCAGGAUAGCUCAGUUGAUAGAUCAUGAGACUCUUAAUCUCAGGUUCGUGGGUUCAAGCCCCAUGUUGGGCA